rnacentral:lncRNA from 1 species
CAGACACAGGGGUAGAGCCGGACAGUGUUAGCUCUCACUUCCUUCUGCAGCCUUGACUGCAUCCCCACGGCCUCCUCAGCCUAAGGGUUGCUUCUCUGCCUUCCACAGCCAAAGCCAGCGAAUAAAAAUAAUCCAAGCUAGCAGGAGGGCCUUGGAGCUGGGGGCUAGGGGGAUGGAGUGCCUAGGAUUCUGGCCAGUCACUCUUUCUUCAUCACAGUCAAACUCAGAACAAGAGGAAGGCCUGAGGCGUGCCUGCUCCUGCCCUUCCUCCAGCCAAGGAUGAGUGAGGACCUCUGCCCACAGAAAACCUUCUAUCAAGGGUUAGAUCCAAAGAGCCAGGAAUUCAGAGCUCCUAAGGGCUACAGAGGUGUCACUAGCAGAGUCCGUGGCAUCCUUCCAGCGUGCAGGCAUUCCCAGACAAAACUAUCCCGGCUCACCGGCUGCACGUGAGACCUGCACAACAACCACACCAGGGAUUCAGCUCACUCUUUGGUCAAGUCCUGAAUGCCUCCCCAAGCAUCUCCACUCCUUGCAAAUAAAAAAAAAUCCAGAAGGAAAACUUUCAAAGCCAGUUUCUUCUCAGCGGCAACCCUUCCUUCCUUCCU